rnacentral:tRNA from 1 species
GCGGACGUGGCGGAACUGGCAGACGCGCUAGACUUAGGAUCUAGUGAGGAAACUCGUGGGAGUUCGACUCUCCCCGCCCGCACAA